UACAAAAAUACAUAGAUAAUUUACCAAUUUGAACGAACAAUCACAACAAUGAUAAAAUCUAAUAUAAAAACUUGAAUCACAUAUGGUUUUGAGGUAAAGGCAUCAAUCAAUGGCGUCUUCAUCUUCUGAAUCUCGCAUUGUCAAAGUAUAUUACAAGCAUAACCGCGUAGGGGCAGUCGAUCCCUUCGCGUUUGAGAACUAUGAGCGUCUCGUAGAUGCUCUGUCUGAUAUGUUUGGAGUAGCAAUUAAUUGUAAGUAACUAAACAAAAAUGUUUUUAGUCGAAGAAAAAUAAAAUAUACUAUCAUCUUACGUUUUGUUUCUCGAAAGCUAUCAUCAAAAUUAUACUAGAAAAAACAAGUACUUAGUUCAUAUGCAUAUUCUAAAUAAAUAAAUAAGAAACUUUGCAAAGAUAUAGAAAUACACAAGUAAAAGAAAAUAUGUAGUCUAAUGAUUUGUGUUAGUGUGUUGUUUCGGAGUCUAAUGAUUUGUGCUAGUGUGUUGUUUUGUAGUCUAAUGAUUUGUUUUAGUGGUGUAUUGCUUUGAUCAGUUCUACAAACUUAUUAAAUGUACAAACCACAUACAUAAUUUAAUAUUUCUAAGUAAGACUUUUCUUUGAUUCCAACAGAUGGCGUCGGAAAUCACUAUACGUUGACGUAUACAGACAACGAUGAACAAUGGAGAAUGGCCGGAGACAUCCCUUGGGACAAUUUUCUGAGUACAGUUCAAGUAUUGAUCCUUUGGAGGCCGAAAUCCCAACCAACUACUUUACAACUCUUCAAAUGAAGUGAGCCAUUAUCUAAAUAUUUUUGUAUUACAAAGUCAACUUAUAUAAUUUAUGUAAACAAAAACUAUACUUCUACAAACUAUUUACACAAUACUCGUCUCUCUUAUUAUUGGUCAAAUUGUGUAAUUAGUUAAUAGUAUUAAUGAGGGAGAUGUGAGUUCAUUACUUAUAAGUUAUAACCAUUCAAAAUCAAUUUUGGAGAUGUGAGUUAAUCUUGAACACAUCAACGAGCAGACAUGAUACAAUCUCUCGUCUUGUUUUUGUUGUCUCACAUAAUAAACCUAGAGAGUGAGUGACCCCUUGGGAACAAAAAAAAAAA